GAAAUGCGAUAAGUAGUGUGAAUUGCAGAAUUCAGUGAAUCAUCGAAUCUUUGAACGCACAUUGCGCCCCUCGGUAUUCCGAAGGGCAUGCCUGUUCGAGCGUCAUUUGUACCCUCAAGCUCUGCUUGGUGUUGGGUGUUUGUCCCGUCUCCGCGCGUGGACUCGCCCCAAAGUGAUUGGCAGCCGGCGUACUGGUCCCGGAGCGCAGCACAUGUCGCGCAAACGAGUGCCUUGGUACGGCGGCGUCCAUAAGCCCCUCUCUCACGCUCUUGACCUCGGAUCAGGUAGGGAUACCCGCUGAACUUAAGC
rnacentral:misc_RNA from 1 species